UAGAAUGCAGAGAAAGCAAAACGUCAGGGUUCUGCUGGUGAGAGGGAGGAGGAGAUAAUGGAUCUGUGUUUUCUCUGACUUGUAAGUCUUCGAGCACCACACGGCAGCCGUUCAAUGCUCCCUGGAGUGAAGUGACAUCAUCCUUCGCAGGAGGCAUGAAUCUCAUUUGUGGACAGUGAGAACAAGCCAACGGAUCUGAGCGCCUAAGUAAAGCCGUUUCACACAAGUGCUGAACCCCAGAACCUUUCAGGACUUUCAAUGGCAGUGAACAGCAGCUGGUCCUAUAGCAGUUCUGCACGGACAUCAAACAGAAUUUCUCCAACAUGCUACCUGGUCCUGGGUCUGUUUGAUGUGAGGGGGCUGAUGUGUGAAGGUGUCCUGUGUGCGAGUGAGUGGGCGUGUUGAUGGCGUCUGUCGGUCUGUCGGAUCAGUCUGGGCCUGGGGACAUACAAACGUUUCCAUCAGUAACGUGCAUCGCCCAGAAAUCAGAGGGAGACGUUCCUCCCUCCUCAGAUGGGGAAUGUCCAGUAGAGGCCUGUUUUGGGUUCAUACUGUGUGUGUGAGAGAGACUCAAAAGGAGCAGAAACGCAGUUAUGUUACUACUCCUUUCAUUCCGCAGUGGGAUCAUGGUUUGAAACUGACUACUUUAUAACACUUACUGAAGCCACAUGCAGAUUGUUUUGAUCUUGUGGUUGGAUGUAUUUUUGGUUAAGCUCACAUAAUAUCAUACACAUGCAGAGGUCUGACACUGGUCGCCUGCUGUUGCAUUUGAGGCAGAGGAAAUUGUAAGCAGAACAACAUAUUCCAUAAAGCUUUUCUUUUUCUUGGUUCUCUCUGUACUGUGGUGAUGCACAGUAACAACAGGAUGCUCAUAUCCCCCAGUCUGAAGCUUAUACACAGGUCUGAACAUGGGUGGAGUCAUCCGUCAGGUCGUAUAGGGAUCGAGAAACCAUCCAUUCACGCCACGGCCUCACUCUGGUCUGCAGAGUGACAUAAGUCACCUUGCAGACUGUAUAAGUUGGAGAAACAGGCGGAUCAAAAAACAUGAAGAAUCACAGUGAUCAGCCUGGAUAAGAAUUUGGAUUGAUCCUUUUUGAUUUCAGUUUUCAACAAUAAUUCAUCUUUGAUGCUUGUCUUUGUGUAGUAAACCUAGAGGAUACUUGAAUUGAGAUGCUGCAUUUUUGCCAACGUGUCGACUGUGGGACAGUCCCAGGUUUGCAAAAUGUGGAGACAAACCAAAGCCAGUGGAUUGAUGAACUAAAGAGAUCCAUCGUGUUUUGAAGGACAACAUAGUCAUAAAGUACAACUGAUAAAAAACAGAAGGUUCAGGUUCUGCACGAGAAAUGUUUAACCACAAACAACACUGGUUUUAAUUACACAUGAAGACACGUGAUCGUCACCUUAGCAGAAACAAAGAAAUUAACCUUUAUGGUAAUUGGUCUUCCAGGACUACAGUCUUGCUUCUCACAGUUUAACGCUCUGAAAUAAUCCUGCCUUUCCAUCCAUCCACCCAUUUUCCAGGGUCGCGGGUGGUGCUGGAGCCCAACCCAGCUGUCUUUGGGCGAGAGGCGGAGUCCACCCUGGACAGGUCGCCAGUCCAUCACAGGGCACAGACAGACAUUUACUGCCUUUCCACCUCUGCGUGGAUGGUGUCCUGCCUUCAUCUGCUCCCUCAGAGCUUCCAGCCCUUUGGAACAGCUGGCAUUUCACCAGACCUCCAACAGGAAAGCUGCAAACACUAAAGCAAAAGUUGAAAAUUACCAUUUUCUGUGUAGCAAAAUUGCUUUCUUUUUAUUUUGGAGGUGACAUUUUCGUCCUCAUGCAUCAUUUAUAUGCCCCCUAGAAAAUAGGAUGGGGGGAAAACGUCGAGGAGAUAGGAGAUGAAAUUAUAAAAAAGCAGACCUGUUCAGAUUAAAGCUUGUGCGUGUGGAGCUGCUGCUGCUGUCGGAUUUCAUUUGCUUCUAUCUGUGCAUGACUGCAUGUGUGUAAUUCCUGUUGCAUCGCAGAAUGUCACAAAUGUACAUAAAUGGAAACAGUGGUGCAUUCCAGGCCGCGUUGCAGGGCCAGGGGAUAAUUCUGCCUUUCAACUGCUUCCCAUUUAUUCCAGAGCUGCAGCACUGUCAUCUCAGCCUAGUCAAGAUGAAAAGCAUCGUUGUGUAAAGAAAUUGAAAUGAAAAUCCUCGUGGACCCAGCAGGAUGGAGAGGUGGGUGUGGAGCUCUGUACAUCUCAAGCAUGUGUUUUCUAUGGGGGCAUGUCUCGUUCUUGGAAUACUGAGGAAGAGGAGCAGUUCAAGCCACGCUGCUGCAGUCAGUUUCUGAAGCUGAAACCUGGGCUGACUCUCAACUAAUGCCUGCUGCAUGUGGGUGUGCAGACAAACAAGCUACAAGGGCUUUGGAAGGAUUUGUUAAUAAUGAAUGCUCUCCACUUUCGCUGCGGUGGAACAGAGUGGGGUUUCUCUGGGAGCGAGGCAGCAGCCUGCAGUCGUAUCCCACGCUGGGAUCGCCUUACCCCACACAGCUCGGCUUUGUUAUUGGAUCUCCUGGGUUGAAGGACACAGUGCAUCAUCUAGCCAGGCUUAAUGCAUGCAAGAUGUCCAAUCAACUCUGUUUGGUCAUUCCAGCCACGCCUAGCCUCCUUCCUGUAGGCCUCUGUGGCCAGACCUUGAAGAGCCCUCUGAUGAGCUCAGAAGGAGAUCUUUGUUUCCUGGAUCAGGAUUUAUUUAUGGUGUGGGCAGAAAUGUUGAUGCCCAUCAUGCUUCAGACAUGUUAAAUACUCCAUAACUUACUCCAUGGUAAAUCUGCUGACUCACACCCAGUACUGCAUCAUGCUACCUGACAUCGGUGGAUUCCAUCGUCAUUCAUAAAGAUUUUGAUAAUUAUAUAAUCCAUCCGUGCUUUUAGACCCACUGACGCCUAUCCCCUACUGCAGGUACAGUAGGUGCAUGUGGAUUGGAGCACAAAUAAUAGGUCGGGAGGAAUUUGUAAACCCCCCAUUCUUCCACAGGUGCCCAUAACAAACCUAAGUGUGAAGAGUUCCCUGAACUGCUAGACUGCAAAAUAAACCCACCUCGCUGAUGUUUGAAUUACUGAUCUUGUAGCCAUUACGAUUCCCCCUGGUGUAAACCAUAUCGCUCAACUGUCCUGGACAGAGGGGUCAUGUAGGGCUACAACAUCUGGGUGAUCCCCUGGCUGCUGAUCCACUCGUCAUCUGCACCAGCUGGUGUCCGUGUCUUUGUCAGGAACAACAACAACAACAAAGAUGAGGGGCUGCACUAGAUUUCUAUAAUGAUAGGGUCCCUGCUUUCAUCUCUUCAAUCUCUUUCUCAAUCAAAGAGAUUCAAGGUUUUUGGCCUUACACCGAAUUCAUCAUCAUAGCCAAGCCACGCCUCAGAAAUGCUCAUUGUCUUGUUUGCUUCUGCAAAAGUGAUGAAUCAAAAACUUAGUAAAACC